GCGAUGCUAGCGCGGGGCUGCUGACGUCAUCUGCAGGCCCUGGAGACGCGACUGCAGUUACCGAGUUUCUAAGGCCUCGUCCCCUGACGGGAAGGCGGCGUUGGGGGGCGGCUGGGUUUACCCUUCGAGAGUCCGUGUGAGAACCGGGACACCUGUCCUGUUGAAAAGGGGGACGCAAAAGCUGAAAAUGCCCGGAAGGAUAUGGCUUCCUUGAACUGCGGGACGUGUAGCUGCAGCUGUGGGGUGGACCAUGGAAACAGGUAGGAACUCUCUGCUGAGUGGCAGAUGGCCUUGGGCAGCGAUGAGUAUUACAUUGUUUUCCCUGCGUGUCUUUCCCGUCAGCUCCAUCAGAAGUACCAGGGAGGACUCUGACAGGCCUGGCCUGGAUCAGCAGGAAGAAGAGAUGGAAGCAACGCCAUGGACCUUCACGUCCUUCAGAGUGUGGGUGGGCUUGGGCUUUGCAGUGAGAGCAAGUAUCACCCAGGAUGGAGAUGGGAGGUAAUGGGUGGCCCCGACAGGUGCCUCCUACUGCUGGCAGCAAGGAGAGAGUGAAGAGGCAGAAUUUCCUUGGUCUAGACUAGAGUCUGGGUCAUGGGCAUGGCAGUGCUUGAGCUUUUGACCAGAAGCAAGUGGACAUGGAUUUGAGCUUCGGGUAAGAAGGGAGACUUCUCUCCAGGGACCAUAGGGGCUGGCAGCUGAAGAAGGUGACUUGGCCCCUCUCUAGAGGGUGAACGCAGGAUCAAUUCAAGGCCAUGAAGUGGAUGCAGCUGGGAGAGCCUGCUUGGUGCUUUUAAACCUCAACAUGUCAACCGCAAAUACCUCAAACACUGCUCACACCGUGGUAAAAUCUAGUUGCGAAACCUGUCCCGCGGCAGCCUUCUCCAUCCCAGGUGCCCAGGCCCCAUCUCCUGGGAGCAGGCAGCUCUCCCCACCCCGAUUCAUGUCCCUCCUACAGCCCAAGGCAACUCCCUGCCACCUUGGUGAAUGAAGCACAUCAUGCUGCCCAGGCUUCUGAGCUGUUUGCCGUGUUGCGGAGAUGCAGCCUUCAGCCUUGGAUACCCACCCACUCCUCUACUUGGGCAUUGUUUUCA
ensembl:lncRNA DNAJC27-AS1 DNAJC27 antisense RNA 1